AUGCCACUGCUAGAUUUUCUAGACUUAGAAAAACAUUUAUUAUUUAGACAGGUACAUCUAGUGUGGCCAUCAUGGUUGUAUUGUAUCAAGAGGUUCAUCCAUUUUCCCUCUUCAGUAUUAAAAAUUGUCCAAGAAUGCAAGCGACUUCAGUUUAUUAGCGGGAAAUGUAUGCCAUCACUGAAUCCAUCAAAAAGUGGCGUAAAUAUCUGA